UACGAGGGGGGCGAGCGUUGUUCGGAAUUAUUGGGCGUAAAGAGCUCGUAGGCGGCCUGUCGCGUCGACCGUGAAAACCCGCAGCUCAACUGCGGGCUUGCGGUCGAUACGGGCAGGCUCGAGUUCGGUAGGGGAGACUGGAAUUCCUGGUGUGAGCGGUGAAAUGCGCAGAUAUCAGGAAGGAACACCCGGUGGCGAAGGCGGGCUCUG
rnacentral:rRNA from 1 species